AGCGAGAAAGCGUUGCCGUAGGCAACGACCCGAAGGGCGAAGCGCGCAGCGCUGAGUAAUCCUUCCCCCGUCAUCC
rnacentral:sRNA from 8 species